UGCCCGGUGGUGUAAUGGUAGCACGAAUGGCUCUGAACCAUUUAGUCUAGGUUCGAAUCCUAGCUGGGCAG
rnacentral:tRNA from 1 species